CUACUUCAUUACGCAUUUGGCUCUUUAUUAAAUAAAUUAGAUGACUAAUGGUUUAAUAUCAUUAGUCCCCAUUUUUCUCAAAAAAAAAAAUUCAUAAGCUUUGGCAGAUAUCGAAUAGGCCAAUUGAUGCGGAAGAAGUCUAUUCUCCCGUACUCGGCUUCAGCAGCAACACCAGCAAAUGCUACCCAAUUGAAUACCUCACAAACCCAUCAAAGUUGAUACUCAAGGGCUCCAUGGGGCAGCGAUAAACAGGCCCAUCCCAAUGCCAUGUUGCCACAA
rnacentral:lncRNA from 1 species